UCUCCGUAGGUGAACCUGCGGAGGGAUCAUUACAGAGUUCUCGCCCUCGCGGGUAGAUCUCCCACCCACUGUUAUCGUUACUGUGUUGCUUUGGCGGGCCGCCGGGCCCCGCUCGGCCGCCGGCUCCGGCUGGCGCGCGCCCGCCAGAGGCCCAGCAAACUCUGAAUGUUGGUGUCGUCUGAGUACUAUAUAAUAGUUAAAACUUUCAACAACGGAUCUCUUGGUUCUG
rnacentral:misc_RNA from 1 species